ACCUGGGCUCAAAUGUAUGUUGACGUAUUCUGAAAGGGAUACUUCUUCGGACAAUAGUACAAGGUGCUGCAUGGUUGUCGUCAGCUCGUGCCGUGAGGUGUCGGGUUAAGUCCCAUACGAGCGCAACCCCUAUCAUUAGUUACCAGCACGUUAUGGUGGGCACUCUAAGGAGACUGCCGGUGACAAACCGGAGGAAGGUGGGGAUGACGUCAAGUCAUCAUGGCCCUUACGGCCUGGGCUACACACGUGCUACAAUGGUCGGUACAAAGGGUUGCCAAGCCGCGAGGUGGAGCUAAUCCCAUAAAACCGAUCGUAGUCCGGAUCGCAGUCUGCAACUCGACUGCGUGAAGUCGGAAUCGCUAGUAAUCGUGAAUCAGAAUGUCACGGUGAAUACGUUCCCGGGCCUU
rnacentral:rRNA from 1 species